rnacentral:rRNA from 1 species
UCUUCGGAGAGUUUGAUCCUGGCUCAGGAUGAACGCUGGCGGCGUGCCUAAUACAUGCAAGUCGAGCGAACUGAUUAGAAGCUUGCUUCUA